rnacentral:rRNA from 1 species
GYUGCCUGUUCCAGCCAUGCCGCGUGCAGGAUGAAGGCCUUCGGGUUGUAAACUGCUUUUGUACGGAACGAAACGGCCUUUUCUAAUAAAGAGGGCUAAUGACGGUACCGUAAGAAUAAGCACCGGCUAACUACGUGCCAGCAGCCGCGGUAAUACGUAGGGUGCAAGCGUUAAUCGGAAUUACUGGGCGUAAAGCGUGCGCAGGCGGUAAUGUAAGACAGUUGUGAAAUCCCCGGGCUCAACCUGGGAACUGCAUCUGUGACUGCAUUGCUGGAGUACGGCAGAGGGGGAUGGAAUUCCGCGUGUAGCAGUGAAAUGCGUAGAUAUGCGGAGGAACACCGAUGGCGAAGGCAAUCCCCUGGGCCUGUACUGACGCUCAUGCACGAAAGCGUGGGGAGCAAACAGGAUUAGAUACCCUGGUAGUCCACGCCCUAAACGAUGUCAACUGGUUGUUGGGAAUUCACUUUCUCAGUAACGAAGCUAACCGCGUGAAGUUGACCCGCUGGGGAGUACGGCGCAAGGUUGAAACUYAAAGGAAUUGACGGGGACCCGCACAAGCGGUGG